rnacentral:rRNA from 1 species
UACGUAGGGGGCUAGCGUUGUCCGGAAUCAUUGGGCGUAAAGAGCGUGUAGGCGGCCCGGUAAGUCCGCUGUAAAAGUCAAAGGCUCAACCUUUGAAUGUCAGUGGAUACUGCCCGGGCUAGAGUCCGGAAGAGGCGAGUGGAACUCCUGGUGUAGCGGUGGAAUGCGCAGAUAUCAGGAAGAACACCAACGGCGAAGGCAGCUCGCUAGGACGGUACUGACGCUGAGACGCGGAAAGCGUGGGGAGCGAACAGG